rnacentral:rRNA from 1 species
AACGAACGCUGGCGGCAUGCCUAACACAUGCAAGUCGAACGAGACCUUCGGGUCUAGUGGCGCACGGGUGCGUAACGCGUGGGAACCUGCCCUUAGGUUCGGAAUAACUCCCCGAAAGGGGUGCUAAUACCGGAUCAUGUCUUCGGACCAAAGAUUUAUCGCCUUUGGAUGGGCCCGCGUUGGAUUAGCUCGUUGGUAGGGUAAAAGCCUACCAAGGCGACGAUCCAUAGCUGGUCUGAGAGGAUGAUCAGCCACACUGGGACUGAGACACGGCCCAGACUCCUACGGGAGGCAGCAGUGGGGAAUAUAGGACAAUGGGCGAAAGCCUGAUCCAGCAAGGCCGCGUGAGUGAUGAAGGCCUUAGGGUUGUAAAGCUCUUUUACCCGGGAUGAUAAUGACAGUACCGGGAGAAUAAGCGCCGGCUAACUCCGUG